rnacentral:piRNA from 1 species
GCAAGCAGGAUUAAUAUGGGAUUA